UACGGAGGGUGCAAGCGUUGUUCGGAAUUAUUGGGCGUAAAGCGCACGUAGGCGGCUGUUUAAGUCUCACUGUGAAAGCCUGCGGCUCAACCGCAGGAGGCCAGGGGAUACUGGACAGCUGGAGACAGGUAGAGGCGAGCGGAAUUCCGGGUGUAGCGGUGGAAUGCGUAGAGAUCCGGAAGAACACCAGAGGCGAAGGCGGCUCGCUGGACCUGUUCUGACGCUGAGGUGCGAAAGCGUGGGGAGCGAACAGGAUUAGAAACCCCUGUAGUCC
rnacentral:rRNA from 1 species